rnacentral:rRNA from 1 species
UGCGGAGGGUGCAAGCGUUAUCCGGAUUCACUGGGUUUAAAGGGUGCGUAGGCGGGUAAGUAAGUCAGUGGUGAAAUCUUCAAGCUUAACUUGGAAACUGCCAUUGAUACUAUUUAUCUUGAAUGUUCUGGAGGUCAGCGGAAUAUGUCAUGUAGCGGUGAAAUGCUUAGAUAUGACAUAGAACACCUAUUGCGAAGGCAGCUGACUACGGAAAUAUUGACGCUGAGGCACGAAAGCGUGGGGAUCAAACAGG